UUUCCGUAGGUGAACCUGCGGAAGGAUCAUUAUUGUAUAACCGAGGUGCGAGGGCUGUCGCUGACCCGAAAGGUCGUGCACGCCCGAGUGCCCUCACACACAUCCAUCUCACCCCUAUGUGCACCACCGCGUGGGUCCCCCUUUGGCUUGUUCGGAGGGGGGCUUACGUUUUCACACAAACUUUGUAUGCAGUGUAGAAUGUAUUUUUUGUCCUUGCGAUCACGCAAUCAAUACAACUUUCAACAACGGAUCUCUUGGCUCUC
rnacentral:misc_RNA from 1 species